rnacentral:rRNA from 1 species
UACGUAGGACCCAAGCGUUGUCCGGAUUUACUGGGUGUAAAGGGUGCGUAGGUGGCGCUGUAAGUCGGGUGUGAAAUCCUGAGGCUUAACCUCGGAACUGCAUUCGAUACUGCGGUGCUUGAGGACUGGAGAGGAGACUGGAAUUCAUGGUGUAGCAGUGAAAUGCGUAGAGAUCAUGAGGAAGACCAGUGGCGAAGGCGGGUCUCUGGACAGUUCCUGACACUGAGACACGAAGGCCAGGGGAGCAAACGGG